GGGCCUUGUUCUGUUGCUCUUUGCAGUAAUUCUUGCUGCUGCUGACUGUUGGGUCCGAGCCGUCUUUAAGAGCUAUUACACUCACGGUGAAGGUUUGUGGUUUCACUCCUGAAGUCAAGCGAGUCUACGAACCCACCGGAAGGAAGAAACUCCAGACUCUGAAGCAACAAACUCUGGACAUACCAAAUGUAAGAAUUGUAACACUCACCACGAGGGUCCGUGGCUUCCACCCUCGCAGCUUCCUCCUUGAAGUCUCCGAGACCAAGAGCCCACCGGAAGGAACCAAUUCUGGACCCAUCAGCUUUAGUGGAAUAAUAGUCCUUGGUUCUCUGGAUAACCGGGAGAAUUGCAUUUUCUGAGGCCCACCAUAAGCACCCAACCAUUAAUAUUUCCAUGCUUCUCUGUCCAUCCCAUGGAGGCUGAGGCUUGAGGGACUGUGCAGUGAGGCAGCAACUCACAUCUCCAGCUGUUGGACUGGUCCUGCCAGCGACGUCUGCUCAGUAGAACAAGCAGCACUUCCCCCAGCCCUGCACUGUCUCAUUUCUGAGACUGAACACCCCGUGGUCACUCUACAUGGAUGGGUUAAUUUCCCUUGGAAAAGUAUUGAUGAUCAAGUGAUGCUAGCAGCAACAGUGUUAAAGGCUUUAACGCUUUUAAAGGGUGACACAGGCUUAAACUGAGACAAUCCAGCAUGGAACUCUUGCAGGAAGGUACUAGGAAAGUGCAUUUUCUUUCCAUGAGGGUUGCCAAACUGGAAGCAUGUUAGCUAAAGCUACCUGUAGUCAUUUUGUGGCCACAUUGGGUGAGAUUGUCUGAGAAAGCAAACCAACUGAAGCAGAGCAGAGAAGAUACUCUACCAACCUAGUUGGAGCCCUGGUUCCAGCCUUGCCUGAAGCUAAAUGCACCUCUUUGCUUCCUUUUUACUGACCCAAUAAAUUUCCCUAUUUGUUUAAA
rnacentral:lncRNA from 1 species